rnacentral:sRNA from 2 species
AUAUCUUUCUGUACGGGAAGGAUGAGAAGCUUCGACUAAGGUUCGAUUCGAGCGCAGCGAGAAAGCGUUGCCGCAGG